rnacentral:rRNA from 1 species
GCAUAUCAAUAAGCGGAGGAAAAGAAACCAACAGGGAUUGCCCUAGUAACGGCGAGUGAAGCGGCAACAGCUCAAAUUUGAAAUCUGGCGCAAGCCCGAGUUGUAAUUUGUAGAGGAUGCUUCUGGCCAGCGGCCGUUCUAAGUUCCUUGGAACAGGACGUCAUAGAGGGUGAGAAUCCCGUAUGUGACCGGCGCGCAGCCUUUACGUAGCUCCUUCGACGAGUCGAGUUGUUUGGGAAUGCAGCUCUAAAUGGGAGGUAAAUUUCUUCUAAAGCUAAAUACCGGCCAGAGACCGAUAGCGCACAAGUAGAGUGAUCGAAAGAUGAAAAGCACUUUGGAAAGAGAGUUAAAAAGCACGUGAAAUUGUUGAAAGGGAAGCGCUUGCAACCAGACUUCGUAGCGAUGUUCCGCUGGUCUUCUGACCGGUCUACUCAUCGUCGCGAGGCCAACAUCGUCUGGGACCGCUGGAUAAGACCUAAGGAAUGUAGCUUCCCUCGGGAAGUGUUAUAGCCUGUGGUGAUGCAGCGUGUCUCGGGCGAGGUCCGCGCUUCGGCAAGGAUGUUGGCGUAAUGGUUAGUCA